rnacentral:misc_RNA from 1 species
GUAGGUGAACCUGCGGAAGGAUCAUUACCGAGAUUUUUCACGAAUUCUUUUUUUUUUCAAUUGAAAGAGUGAAUCUCCCACCCAUUGUGUUACCAAUUUUUGAUACUUUGGUGAAGCGAUCUCUUCUUAGGGAUCCAUUGACUUUUGAAAGAAAGUGAAUGUGUCUUUGCCAAAGGACCCCUCUUCUUAACUCUUAUUAUUAUACAAAUUGUCUGAGUUUAUAUUUUAAAUAAACAAAACUUUCAACAAC